CCCAGACUCCUACGGGAGGCAGCAGUGAGGAAUAUUGGUCAAUGGUCGCGAGACUGAACCAGCCAAGUAGCGUGCAGGAUGACGGCCCUAUGGGUUGUAAACUGCUUUUAUGCGGGGAUAAAAUGCGUCACGUGUGAUGUUUUGUAGGUACCGCAUGAAUAAGGACCGGCUAACUCCGUGCCAGCAGCCGCGGUAAUACGGAGGAUGCGAGCGUUAUCCGGAUUUAUUGGGUUUAAAGGGUGCGCAGGCGGAGGCACAAGUCAGCGGUAAAAUCGGGGGGCCCAACCCCGCUCCGCCGUUGAAACUGUGUCCCUUGAGUGCGCGAAGGGUAGGCGGAAUGCGUGGUGUAGCGGUGAAAUGCAUAGAUAUCGCGCAGAACUCCGAUUGCGAAGGCAGCAUACCGGCGCCCAACUGACGCUGAAGCACGAAAGCGUGGGUAUCGAACAGGAUUAGAUACCCUAGUA
rnacentral:rRNA from 1 species